CAGUAGCCGCGGGAAUACGUAGGUGGCAAGCGUUGUCCGGAAUUAUUGGGCGUAAAGGGCUCGCAGGCGGUUUCUUAAGUCUGAUGUGAAAGCCCCCGGCUCAACCGGGGAGGGUCAUUGGAAACUGGGAAACUUGAGUGCAGAAGAGGAGAGUGGAAUUCCACGUGUAGCGGUGAAAUGCGUAGAGAUGUGGAGGAACACCAGUGACGAAGGCGACUCUCUGGUCUGUAACUGACGCUGAGGAGCGAAAGCGUGGGGAGCGAACAGGAUUAGAUACCCCGGUAGUCCCUGUCUCUUAUAC
rnacentral:rRNA from 1 species